UACGUAGGGUGCGAGCGUUAAUCGGAAUACUGGGCGUAAAGCGUGCGCAGGCGGCUUUGCAAGACAGAUGUGAAAUCCCCGGGCUUAACCUGGGAACUGCAUUUGUGACUGCAUGGCUGGAGUGCGGCAGAGGGGAUGGAAUUCCGCGUGUAGCAGUGAAAUGCGUAGAUAUGCGGAGGAACACCGAUGGCGAAGGCAAUCCCCUGGGCCUG
rnacentral:rRNA from 1 species